GUAGCAAAGUCAUUUGUUUUUUAAUUGAAAACUGGAAUGAAAGGCUUAACAAAUGCAUAGUUUUUUAGGUUUAAAGAUUAAAAUUUUUAUUUUUUGUAAGAAUACAUAAAUAUUUAAAAGGGACGAUAAGACCCUAAAAGCUUUACUAUUAAAAUUUUUUUUAUUAUUUAAAUUUGAUUAUUUAAUGUAUUUUAACUGGGGCGGUUGUUUUUAUAACAAAAAUUUUUUUUACAAGUAGGUUAAAAGAUCCUUAAGAUUAGGAUAUAUUGUUUAAGUUACUUUAGGGGUAACAGCGUAAUAAUGAUAGGGAGACCUCAUUUAUAUUAUUGAUUGCGACCUCGAUGUUGAAUUAAAUUUUCCGUAUAAAGAGAAAUUAUGUGGGAAAGUUUGUUCAACUUUUAAAAUUUU
rnacentral:rRNA from 1 species